AACGCUGGCGGCAGGCUUAACACAUGCAAGUCGAGCGCCCCGCAAGGGGAGCGGCAGACGGGUGAGUAACGCGUGGGAAUCUACCCAGCUCUACGGAAUAACUCAGGGAAACUUGUGCUAAUACCGUAUACGUCCGAUAGGAGAAAGAUUUAUCGGAGUUGGAUGAGCCCGCGUUGGAUUAGCUAGUUGGUGGGGUAAAGGCCUACCAAGGCGACGAUCCAUAGCUGGUCUGAGAGGAUGAUCAGCCACACUGGGACUGAGACACGGCCCAGACUCCUACGGGAGGCAGCAGUGGGGAAUAUUGGACAAUGGGCGCAAGCCUGAUCCAGCCAUGCCGCGUGAGUGAUGAAGGCCCUAGGGUUGUAAAGCUCUUUCACCGGUGAAGAUAAUGACGGUAACCGGAGAAGAAGCCCCGGCUAACUUCGUGCCAGCAGCCGCGGUAAUACGAAGGGGGCUAGCGUUGUUCGGAAUUACUGGGCGUAAAGCGCACGUAGGCGGAUUGUUAAGUUAGGGGUGAAAUCCCAGGGCUCAACCCUGGAACUGCCUUUANUACUGGCAAUCUAGAGUCCGAGAGAGGUGAGUGGAAUUCCGAGUGUA
rnacentral:rRNA from 1 species